ensembl:snRNA U6 U6 spliceosomal RNA
AUGCUUGCUUCGGCAGCACAUAUUCUAAAAUUGGAACGAUACAGAGAAGAUUAGCAUGGCCCCUGUGCAAGGAUGACACACACAAAAAAGUCAGCCUGGGCUAUAUAGUU